rnacentral:rRNA from 1 species
GACGAACGCUGGCGGCGUGCUUAACACAUGCAAGUCGAACGAUGAUGCCAGCUUGCUGGUGGAUUAGUGGCGAACGGGUGAGUAACACGUGAGCAACCUGCCCCUGACUUCGGGAUAACCGCGGGAAACCGUGGCUAAUACCGGAUAUGACGCGCUAUCGCAUGGUGGUGUGUGGAAAGAUUUAUCGGUUGGGGAUGGGCUCGCGGCCUAUCAGCUUGUUGGUGGGGUGAUGGCCUACCAAGGCGACGACGGGUAGCCGGCCUGAGAGGGUGACCGGCCACACUGGGACUGAGACACGGCCCAGACGCCUACGGGAGGCAGCAGUGGGGAAUAUUGCUCAAUGGGCGCAAGCCUGAUGCAGCGACGCCGCGUGAGGGAUGACGGCCUUCGGGUUGUAAACCUCUUUCAGUAGGGAAGAAGGCCUUCGGGUUGACGGUACCUGCAGAAGAAGCGCCGGCUAACUACGUG